AAGGAUCAUUACCAAACAAAAGUGAUUCCGGGUCAGGCCGCGAGGUCGGACCCGUUACCACCCCAACCCUUUGUGAACCAAAAAACCUUUCGCUUCGGCAGCAGUCCGGUUGGAAGCAACCGCCGCGUCAGCCUGCCGCUAGCACCAACAAACAAAACUUGCAGUCAAACAUUGUCUGAUAACCAUAUUUUCGAAUGAAAAUUAAAACUUUCAACAACGGAUCUCUUGGUUCCC
rnacentral:misc_RNA from 1 species